rnacentral:lncRNA from 1 species
CACUCAUCUUUCAUAUCAGAUGGUUUCCACUUAUUAUCAUGGUGGCCCUCAACUAAAUAUACUUUAGUUUAAAAAAUUCAUUAAAAAAUAAUUGAGGCCAGAGGCAGUGGCUUAUGCCUAUAAUUCCAGCACUUUGGGAGGCUGAGGUGGGUGGAUCGCUUGAGCUUAGGAGUUCAAGACCAAACUGGGCAACAUGGUGAAACCCUAUCUCUACAAAAAAUAAAAAGAUUAACAUGUGUGGUGGCACCACACCUGUAAUUUUAGCUACUUGGGAGGCUGAGGUGGGAGGAUCACCUGAGCCCGGGAAGGUUGCGGCUGCAAUGAGCCAUGAUUGUGCCACUGCACUCCAACCUGGGUGGCAGAGUGAGACCCUCUCCCCUCGACCAAAACAAAACAAAACAAAAAAAACCAAACCAAACCAAACCAAACCGAGAGCCUAAAAUCACAGAUUCCAGUGUGGUUUGGGUGUGCAGAGUACAGUGCAUCCAUGAUUAUAUUGCUUGCAAUACUAUUCUACUAUUGGCCCAAAAUUAUGACAGCUUAAGUUGUCACAUUAUAAUUUAUACUUAAAAUUGAGUUAAUGGGUCAUUUAAAAACUCUGUAUUAUUGUUUAAACAAGAAGUAAACACCAAAGUAUUUUCUCCUCUCCCAUCUUUUUCUUGUGCGACUUAUUUCGUGAACUUAAGUGUCCUUGCUGAGCCCCAUUAAUCUUACUGGCUUCACCCAGAGCUUAGAGCCUGGUGAGAUGGUUUUGAGCCUUGAUUCUAUCAACUUGAAUAUUAGUUAUCCUUCCCAGCUUCAUGUUAAUCUGCAAACUGGAUAAGCAUUCCUUCUAAUUUUUUAUCAAGUCAACCAUAGAAGUGUGCACCACAAUAAAGAUAAAGAUAGAAACUUCAGGCCCUACUGGAGGUUCCAACAGUCCCUUCCAAGCAAAGAAAUAUCAGUCAACACUCUGCACAGUGGUUCAAUUAAUUAUGAAUCUAUCUGACAUAAUUUUUCCCUCCAUUCUAGCCAGAUCUGUCUACUUGCUUCCUAGUAUUCAGAGAUUAUGAGGAAGAAUGUUAAGAGAAUUCCCUGUUAUUCUUGUGCCUGUUAGAGCCAGA